GAUAUCAUCCUUUUUUAAUUAAAAUGUUACAUACCUAACAUACCUGUUAGGUAUGUAACAUUCUUGCAGAAAUGAUAUC